ensembl:lncRNA
CAAAAACAAAAGCGAAACCUUUAUUCUUUUGGCUUGAUUGUAAUGUGGUUUACCGUUCUUUAUGGUAACAGCAUUUUCCUGCAUGCAUUUCACCAACACACUACAAGUCAAUAGCUUUAGUAUAGAGAAUCUACAUUUAUUGUUGCUUGUGAAACACAAAGUAUUUUGCUGUAACUGGUAAUAUAACUUCACUACCUGGUUUUGUGGGGGGGAAAAAAAGCUGGGAUCCCAUAUUAUAUCUGAUACAGUUCUAGUGCCAUAUGGGUCAAUAAGAUCUAUCUGUGUAAACAAACAUUGGAAAAGACUGAUGAUUACUGAAUAAAAAGACUAGGUGGAAACAUUGGAUUCAAGCAAUGCCAAGAAUAUCAGCUGAUUUUUUUCUUUAAGCCUCUUUCAAUGAUAAGGCAUUACUAUUGAAAGCAAAUAAACAUUGAACUCAGUUUGAGAUUUGUUUCACAUUGAAACGUGUGCAAGUUUACAGUACUAAUAAAAAAGCAGAAACCUACACUGCAUCCUAGUCCUUGCUUCUUAUUUUGUGAAGUGCUUCAGUUUAAAAGUGCUAGGAACAGAAACUAACAAUAGUGACUGUGAAAUCCACCUGAAGAUACUUUUAAUUUCUCAUUUUAUGUACAAAAGGCUGAAAAAUAAAAUAAAAUGAACUUUUUACAGUAUUUAUAUUUCCUUAGAAAACUCUAACCAUAUAUUUUAAACAGAUUUAAGCAGCUUGCAACGUGUUUGUACAGUCGGGCUUUUCAUCAUAGAGUGUUCAAUUAAGGUUGGAAGAAUAAAAAGCAAGAAGCUCUUCCUUGUUUGCUGCAACCUAUUGCUUAAUGACAUGAAGAAUGAGGUCUUGGUAGAACAAUUUGCUUCACUUUACCACUGACAUAUGGCUUCCCAUAUUAGACUUCUGAACAGUGGAAGGAAUAAGAUACAGCAGCAUAGGCAAGAUAAACAUGCAGCAGUGACAGCUUCAAACUAUAAUGGAACCAAUUACAUCAUAUUACCUGUUGAAAGCUUGCAAACUAUACUUACUGUGGUACAUAUUUGAUGCAAUAAGUAGUGUGCUUAAAUCAUCAUUUUCGUUUGCUCAAACAUGCACCACUGGGUAAAAUUACUAUUUACAAAGCAGACUUUUAUUUUUUAAAUUGACAUAUACUAUGUCAACCUUACCAAGAGCAGAAGAUGGCUAAACAAUACUGCAGGAUAAAGCAGAAUCAACUUUAUAAAGUGGUGGUGGGGAUGUUUUUUGGUCAAUUCAGGUUUCUUAGAAAGGACUGAUAGGAUAUUUUUAUUUUAUGCCAAAGGACACUUAUCAAAAAUGUGAUAGUCAUGCUGCUGGGACUGUGAAUGACAAUGUAAUGGUAUGUGUACAUCUCUGUGUGUGUGUGUGUAUACAUAUAUAUGUAUAUACACGCACAUAUACAUAUAUACAUAUAUACAUGUACAUUUAAUGGAUUAUGUAAAAAUAAAGCAACUCUUUAAUGCUUGUGAUUCUAUGGAACAUUUACAGGCACAUUAAAUUUUUUCUGGAUGAGACACCUUAAAAAUACGAAUAGCUAUUUAAGCACCUCAAAAAUCUAAAAACAUCCUGAAACAAGAAGUAAAGUCUUUCCUUUUGUGAUGUGAUUUUUUUUCAUGUGUGAAUGAGAAUUGCAGCAUGCCUCCAUUUAAAAUAUAUCCAGUUAUACAAUACAAUAGAGAAAUGUAGAAUUCCCUCCCUUUAAUCCCUCUCCCCAAACACAAACCCAUUUACAAAAAUAGUCACAUAUAAUAGUAAACAACCUGUGAAUUAAAAAGAAAAGUGAUAAAUUCACAGCACACGUUUUGUAAAAAUAUGGCAGGUGUGGCAGUUAAAACAUAAACAGUGGUGACAAUUACUAUUAUCAAGUGUCACAUGUUGAAUUUACAUAAAAAUUUAACUUCCCUCCCCCCUUUAAAUUGGUUCCUAUCGUCUGAGUAGCCAUUACGCCUCUGCUCUUCAGCAGUGUCAGCUGGUUGUGAAAAUAGAAACCUCCUGUCGAUACUACUUCUCCAGUUUACUGAGUUCCAGUUUGCUGACCAGAGGUCUCUGUCUUGUUGUAGGCACUGACCUUAAG